UACGAAGGGGGCUAGCGUUGCUCGGAAUCACUGGGCGUAAAGGGUGCGUAGGCGGGUCUUUAAGUCAGGGGUGAAAUCCUGGAGCUCAACUCCAGAACUGCCUUUGAUACUGAGGAUCUUGAGUUCGGGAGAGGUGAGUGGAACUGCGAGUGUAGAGGUGAAAUUCGUAGAUAUUCGCAAGAACACCAGUGGCGAAGGCGGCUCACUGGCCCGACACUGACACUGAGAGACGAAAGCUAGGGGAGCGAAUGGG
rnacentral:rRNA from 1 species